rnacentral:rRNA from 1 species
UAAGUAAGUGGUGGAAAUUAAACCAAAUGGGAUAUCUUUAGUAAUUGCGAAUGAACAAGGAUAUGCUUAGCUUGACAAAUGGAGCGAUUGGCUUUGAAUUGUAUUUGUGGAAUGUAUUACCAACAGAGGUGCAGGUGCCAGCCUAUUAAAUAAAGCGUCAAUGAGGGUGAGAAUCCUGUUUGUCAUGUGCAGCCCUUUGUGCACGGUGUAUAUUUGCUGAGUCACACUCCUUGGCAUUGGAAUGCAAAGUGGGUGGUAAGUUUCAUGUACAGGUAAACAUGCAAUUGAGACUGAUAGCACACAAGUACCAUGAGGGAAAUAUGAAAAGGACUUUGAAAAGAGAAUUAAAUGAGUUUGUAUUUGCUGAACACAAAGUAAACAGACUUGGUUUGCUUGGUGGGAGUGUUGCACUUGCUUGACAAGAGCUUUGGGCUGUGGGUGUAAUGACUCUUUCUUUGCAUGCCAGUUUCUAUUUGUACAUCUGAUUACCUUUGCACAUGAAUGAUAAGUCUCCUGUGGGGGUGGAUUGCAUGUGCAUGUAAUGAUUUGUGUUUUGAUAAAUGUGCCUGGUGUAUGUGUGUGUUCCUGUGCUUGGGGAUGCUUCCUUCCUUGGACUUACAAGCCCUGACACACACAUGCUGGCAAAAUGCUUCUGCUUGACCCG